AAGUCGUAACAAGGUUUCCGUAGGUGAACCUGCGGAAGGAUCAUUAACUAGUAUUGAAGUCCACGGGGAUCAGGCUUUCCGAAAGGAGGGUGGGGGGAUGUUUGGUUCCCCCUGCUUGGGCAGACUGGAGAGCAUUGUGUAGCCACUUUUGUUGGCUACGUUAUGUUUGGCCUCUGCUGAUCGAGCUUGUCACCUGAAUUCUACAACCCUUGCUUUUUGCGCACCCAUUGUUUCCUCGGUAGGCUUGCCUGCCAGUAGGACCAUUUAAAACCCUUUGUGAUUGCAAUCAGCGUCAGAAACAACGUAAUCGUUACAACUUUCAACAACGGAUCUCUUGGUUCUG
rnacentral:misc_RNA from 1 species